rnacentral:rRNA from 1 species
UAAGGAAUAUUGCUCAAUGGGGGAAAUCCUGAAGCAGCAACGCCGCGUGGAGGAUGAAGGGUCUAUGACUUGUAAACUCCUGUAAAGAAGGAAAAAAUCCCCAUUUGAUGGGAGAUGAUGGUACUUCUGGAGUAAGCCCCGGCUAACUACGUGCCAGCAGCCGCGGUAAUACGUAGGGGGCAAGCGUUGUCCGGAUUUACUGGGUGUAAAGGGUGCUCAGGCGGAUUUGUAAGUCAGAGGUGAAAUCUUACAGCUUAACUGUGAAACUGCCUUUGAUACUGCAAGCCUAGAGUAUGGAAGAGAGUGAUGGAAUAUCUGGUGUAGCAGUGAAAUGCGUAGGUAUCAGAUAGAACACCAAUGGCGAAGGCAGUCACUUGGUCCAUUACUGACGCUAAAGCACGAAAGCGUGGGUAGCAAACA